UCAUUAAAUCAGUUAUCGUUUAUUUGAUUGUACCUUUACCACUUGGAUAACCGUGGUAAUUCUAGAGCUAAUACAUGCGAAAAGUCCCGACUUCUGGAAGGGAUGUAUUUAUUAGAUUCAAAACCAAUGCGGGUUCUGCCCGGUCAUUUGGUGAUUCAUAGUAACUGUUCGAAUCGCAGGGCCUCGCGCCGGCGAUGUUUCAUUUAAAUUUCUGCCCUAUCAACUGUCGAUGGUAAGGUGUUGGCUUACCAUGGUUACAACGGGUGACGGAGAAUUAGGGUUCGAUUCCGGAGAGGGAGCCUGAGAAACGGCUACCACAUCCAAGGAAGGCAGCAGGCGCGCAAAUUACCCAAUCCUGACUCAGGGAGGUAGUGACAAGAAAUAACAAUACAGGGCUUUUCUAAGUCUUGUAAUUGGAAUGAGAUUAGAUAGAAUUAUUAGCUGAGAAUAUUUACUUAAAUAUAAAGGAAAUAUCUUAU
rnacentral:ncRNA from 1 species